GCUGGGUGUGAUGGCGCAUGCUUAUAAUCCCAGCACCUCGGGAGGCUGAGGCAGGAGGAUCAUGAGUUCAAAGCCAGCCUCAGGAACUCAGCAAGAUCCUGUCUCUA
rnacentral:sRNA from 1 species